GAUGAACGCUGGCGGCGUGCCUAAUACAUGCAAGUCGAGCGAACGGACGAGAAGCUUGCUUCUCUGAUGUUAGCGGCGGACGGGUGAGUAACACGUGGAUAACCUACCUAUAAGACUGGGAUAACUUCGGGAAACCGGAGCUAAUACCGGAUAAUAUUUUGAACCGCAUGGUUCAAAAGUGAAAGACGGUCUUGCUGUCACUUAUAGAUGGAUCCGCGCUGCAUUAGCUAGUUGGUAAGGUAACGGCUUACCAAGGCAACGAUGCAUAGCCGACCUGAGAGGGCGAUCGGCCGCACUGGAACUGAGACACGGUCCAGACUCCUACGGGAGGCAGCAGUAGGGAAUCUUCCGCAAUGGGCGAAAGCCUGACGGAGCAACGCCGCGUGAGUGAUGAAGGUCUUCGGAUCGUAAAACUCUGUUAUUAGGGAAGAACAUAUGUGUAAGUAACUGUGCACAUCUUGACGGUACCUAAUCAGAAAGCCACGGCUAACUACGUG
rnacentral:rRNA from 1 species